GCUUUUUGUUGUUUAAAGGUAAGUUCUGCCCAAUGGUUUUAAAUGGCCGCGGUAAUUUGACCGUGCAAAGGUAGCAUAAUCAUUUGCCUCGUAAUUGGGGGCUGGAAUGAAUGAAUAAACAAAGGCUUUUCUUUAUUUUGGAGAAAAAAAUAAUUUUCUUUUUUAGUGAAGAAGCUAAAAUAAAAAAGGGGACAAGAAGACCCUUUUGAGCUUUAUUAACUUUCUUUUUAUUUAGGGUUAAUUUGGUUGGGGCGACCGAGGAGAAUCCUCCUUAGUUAUGUUGAUCCGCAGGUUGCGAUUAAAAGAGUAAGUUACCAAAGGGAUAACAGCGUAAUCUUUUUUGAGAGUUCUUAUUAAAAAUUAGGAUUGCGACCUCGAUGUUGACUUAUAAUUCCCAUUUGGUGUAGCAGCUGAGAUGGUGGGUCUGUUCGACCUUUAAAAUUUU
rnacentral:rRNA from 1 species